CCUACGUGAGGCAGCAGUGGGGAAUAUUGGGCAAUGGGCGCAAGCCUGACCCAGCAACGCCGCGUGAAGGAAGAAGGCUUUCAGGUUUUUAACUUCUUUUAAGAGGGAAGUGCAGAAGACGGUACAUCUUGCAUAAGCCACGGCUAACUACGUGCCAGCAGCCGCGGUAAUACGUAGGUGGCAAGCGUUGUCCGGAUUUACUGGGUGUAAAGGGGGCGCAGGCGGGGAGGCAAGCCAGGAGUGACAGCCCGGGGCUCAACCCCGGAACUGCUCUUGGAACUGCGUGGCUGGAGUGCAGGAGGGGCAGGAGGAAUUCCUGGUGUAGCGGUGAAAUGCGUAGAUAUCAGGAGGAACACCGAUGGCGAAGGCGGCCUGCUGGACUGCAACUGACGUUGAGGCCCGAAAGCGUGGGGAGCAAACAGGAUUAGAUACCCUUGUAGUC
rnacentral:rRNA from 1 species